rnacentral:misc_RNA from 1 species
GGGGCCGUGGAGGAGGUCGAGGUCGAUCUGGAGGCUCUGAUUUGAAGUGCUACGAAUGUGGUGAAUCAGGUCAUUUUGCUCGUGAGUGCAGAACGCGUGGGGGUCCAGGAGCUGGAAGACGUAGAAGUCGGAGCCCUCCUAGAUACCGCAGGAGCCCAAGUUAUGGUCGUAGGAGUUACAGUCCACGUGGGCGUUCCCCUAGGCGCCGAAGCCCGUCACCACGUGGUCGCAGCUAUAGCCGUUCUCCAUAUCGAGGUCGAGAAGAAGCUCCAUAUGUUAAUGGAAAUGGACUUAGAGAGUGUCACAGAAGCCGAAGCUGAAUGAAAGAGAUGAUAGCCUGACAUGUCCUGGAGUCUUUCGAUUUGUGUUACUGUCCUUGACUUAAUCACAACUGUGUAAGUGAGGCCAUGCCCUCAGCUUAAACUGGUGGUUUUGGUUAAGUUUAAGUUCUUGCUUUGGUGUCGUUAGUGUUAGUUUUAUUUUUACUCAAUGUUACCCUUUUUAAGAACCUAAUAUCAUAGGGAUUUAUAUGUUGGAUUUUAUGGUAGUUGUUAUUUUUUAUGAAGAAAAUCACA